rnacentral:rRNA from 1 species
AUAAGAGGUCCAGCCUGCCCAGUGACUUUGUUCAACGGCCGCGGUAUCCUAACCGUGCGAAGGUAGCGUAAUCACUUGUCUUUUAAAUGGGGACUUGUAUGAAUGGCAUCACGAGGRUUAUACUGUCUCCUUUUUCUAAUCAGUGAAACUAAUCUUCCCGUGAAGAAGCGGGAAUAAACAUAUAAGACGAGAAGACCCUAUGGAGCUUUAAACUUAAUAACAAAUACUAACCUUUCAUCAACCUUCAGAAUAUUAACCUUAAUUUUAGUAUUAUGAUUAUUAGUUUUAGGUUGGGGUGACCGCGGAGUAAAAAUUAACCUCCACAUUGAACGGGACCUGUCCCUGAGCCAAGAACUACAGCUCGAAGCACCAACAAAUUGACAUUAAUUGACCCAAUAUUUUGAUCAACGAACCAAGUUACCCUAGGGAUAACAGCGCAAUCCACUUCAAGAGCU